rnacentral:rRNA from 1 species
GGUAGCAUAAUCACUUGUCUUUUAAUUAAAGGCUGGAAUGAAAGAGGCGACGAAAUCUAGACUAUUUAGGUAUUUAGUUAAAUUGACAUGUGGGUUAAAAGGCCCAGAUGCGCCAGCGGGACGAUAAGACCCUAUAAAACUUUACUAUUAUACCGUACUAACUAGAGUUUUAUCAUGUAAUAGUUGAACUGGGGCGGUGUCUAUAUAAACAAUUGUAGAUAUAAUAUAUUAAAUAGUUGAAAGGAACUCUAUGUGAAAUAGAACAAGUUACUUUAGGGAUAACAGCGUAAUUCACCCAGAUAGUCCUAAUUGGCGGGUGAGCUUACGACCUCGAUGUUGAAUUGGGGAGCCUUGUAUAAGCAGCUAUAUAUACAGACAGUCUGUUCGACUAUUAAAUCCCC